UAGAGAAGCUUGCUUCUCUGAUACUUAGCGGCGGACGGGUGAGUAACACGUAGGCAACCUGCCCUCAAGCUUGGGACAACUACCGGAAACGGUAGCUAAUACCGAAUACAUGAUUUGUUCGCCUGAACGAAUUUGGAAAGACGGAGCAAUCUGUCACUUGAGGAUGGGCCUGCGGCGCAUUAGCUAGUUGGUGAGGUAACGGCUCACCAAGGCGACGAUGCGUAGCCGACCUGAGAGGGUGAUCGGCCACACUGGGACUGAGACACGGCCCAGACUCCUACGGGAGGCAGCAGUAGGGAAUCUUCCGCAAUGGACGCAAGUCUGACGGAGCAACGCCGCGUGAGUGAUGAAGGUUUUCGGAUCGUAAAGCUCUGUUGCCAGGGAAGAACGUCGAGUGUAGUAACUGCACUCGGAGUGACGGUACCUGAGAAGAAAGCCCCGGCUAACUACGUGCCAGCAGCCGCGGUAAUAC
rnacentral:rRNA from 1 species